ACGUAGGAGGCAAGCGUUAUCCGGAGUUACUGGGCGUAAAGCGUGCGCAGGCGGUUCGCUAAGACAGGUGUGAAAUCCCCGGGCUUAACCUGGGAAUGGCGCUUGUGACUGGCGGGCUGGAGUACGGCAGAGGGGGGUGGAAUUCCACGUGUAGCAGUGAAAUGCGUAGAGAUGUGGAGGAACACCAGAGGCGAAGGCGACACCCUGGGCCAUACCUGACGCUAAGACGCGACAGCACGGGGAGCGAACGG
rnacentral:rRNA from 1 species